rnacentral:rRNA from 1 species
AACUAUGAUUGACGCUGAGGCACGAAAGCCUGGGUAGCAAACAGGAUUAGAUACCCUGGUAGUCCACGCUGUAAACGAUGAUCACUCGCUGUUGUCAAUACAUCGUCAGUGUCUGAGCGUAAGCAUUAAGUGAUCCACCUGGGGAGUACGUCCGCAAGGUUGAUACUCAAAGGAAUUGACGGGGGCCCGCACAAGCGGAGGAACAUGUGGUUUAAUUCGAUGAUACGCGAGGAACCUUACCUGGGCUUAAAUGCAGAGCGACAUCCGCCGAAAGGUGGAUUCCUUCGGGCGAUCUGCAAGGUGCUGCAUGGCUGUCGUCAGCUCGUGCCGUGAGGUGUCGGGUUAAGUCCCAUAACGAGCGCAACCCUUAUCGUUAGUUGCCAGCGGCUAAUGCCGGGGACUCUAACGAAACUGCCCCUCUAACCGUGAGGAAGGUGGGGAUGACGUCAAGUNGCACGGCCNUUAUGUCCAGGGCUACACACGUGUUACAAUGGCCGGUACAAAGGGCAGCUACCACGCGAGUGGAUGCUAAUCUCCAAAACCGGUCUUAGUUCGGAUUGAAGUCUGCAACUCGACUUCAUGAAGCUGGAUUCGCUAGUAAUCGCGCAUCCGCCAUGGCGCGGUGAUACGUUCCCGGCCAUUGACACACCGCCCGUCA